rnacentral:rRNA from 1 species
AGAGUUUGAUCAUGGCUCAGGACGAACGCUGGCGGCGUGCUUAACACAUGCAAGUCGAACGAUGAACCACUUCGGUGGGGAUUGGUGGCGAACGGGUGAGUAACACGUGGGCAAUCUGCCCUGCACUCUGGGACAAGCCCUGGAAACGGGGUCUAAUACCGGAUACUGACCCUCGCAGGCAUCUGCGAGGUUCGAAAGCUCCGGCGGUGCAGGAUGAGCCCGCGGCCUAUCAGCUUGUUGGUGAGGUAAUGGCUCACCAAGGCGACGACGGGUAGCCGGCCUGAGAGGGCGACCGGCCACACUGGGACUGAGACACGGCCCAGACUCCUACGGGAGGCAGCAGUGGGGAAUAUUGCACAAUGGGCGAAAGCCUGAUGCAGCGACGCCGCGUGAGGGAUGACGGCCUUCGGGUUGUAAACCUCUUUCAGCAGGGAAGAAGCGAAAGUGACGGUACCUGCAGAAGAAGCGCCGGCUAACUACGUGCCAGCAGCCGCGGUAAUACGUAGGGCGCAAGCGUUGUCCGGAAUUAUUGGGCGUAAAGAGCUCGUAGGCGGCCUGUCGCGUCGGUUGUGAAAGCCCGGGGCUUAACCCCGGGUCUGCAGUCGAUAUGGGCAGGCUAGAGUUCGGUAGGGGAGAUCGGAAUUCCUGGUGUAGCGGUGAAAUGCGCAGAUAUCAGGAGGAACACCGGUGGCGAAGGCGGAUCUCUGGGCCGAUACUGACGCUGAGGAGCGAAAGC